CCUACGGGUGGCAGCAGUGGGGAAUUUUCCGCAAUGGGCGAAAGCCUGACGGAGCAACGCCGCGUGAGGGAUGAAGGCCUCUGGGCUGUAAACCUCUUUUAUCAAGGAAGCGGUACUUGAUGAAUAAGCCACGGCUAAUUCCGUGCCAGCAGCCGCGGUAAUACGGGAGUGGCAAGCGUUAUCCGGAAUUAUUGGGCGUAAAGCGUCCGCAGGCGGUCUUUUAAGUCUGUCGUCAAAGCGUGGAGCUUAACUCCAUUUCUGCGAUGGAAACUGGGAGACUAGAGUGUGGUAGGGGCAGAGGGAAUUCCCGGUGUAGCGGUGAAAUGCGUAGAUAUCGGGAAGAACACCAGUGGCGAAGGCGCUCUGCUGGGCCAUACUGACGCUCAUGGACGAAAGCCAGGGGAGCGAAAGGGAUUAGAUACCCUGGUAGUC
rnacentral:rRNA from 1 species